GGAGGAGCCAGGAAUGUGUUUUGCACUGAUGUCAACCUGCUGCACGGCGCCACACCUGCUUCCCGACCCAGGAGCGUGGGAAUGAGAAAAGAGUGGCUUGUUUUGGUAGAGGUGGAGCAUGCUCACUCCCUGACUCAGAGCCGGGAGGUACUCUGGGCCCUGCAACAGCCUGGGGACUGUGGCUUGACUUGGGAAACUGGUCCGUUGGAUGACUGAAGGGAACCCACACCAUGAGCACACUCUCCAGUGAGUCAAUGAUUAUUCUGCUCCAGCCACUGAGGCAAUAGAGACGUUGACUUCCACUCUAGCCGAUGAGGGCUCAGGUGAGGAAGAGAGAAGAAGAGUGAGGAAGCUGGCUUUAACUCCCUGUGUCAGAGUUCAGCCUCCUACAGGCCUCUUGGAACGUUUGCAUUGUAGACUGAAAGCAAAGGCGCUAAGGAAACCAAGAAUGAAGUGGCAGAUAUGGGCCAUCAUCUUUGAGGGUGUGAAAGAAGAUUGGAGACCCUAUCUUGGUGGUCUUCUUUAGCUUGGACCAUGUGGGUCUCACUCCAUAAUGGUGUGAAAGCCACCUCAAGGCAGGGUAGGGUGCUGCAACCUUAGCUCUGCUGCCAUAAACCCAGGAGCAGAGGACCACAGAGGAGGAAGUCCUGCCUAGAGGAACAGAAUGGACUGGUGGCGGCGAGCUUUGAGAUCACACCUCAAACCCAGGAACCUGUUAUGACUGGGUUAUCUCCUUCCUCUCAGCGGGAGCUGGAACAACUCUGAGUCGGCAUCCUGACUUUUGGCCCCUUUACAUGAAACCAUAUGUGG
rnacentral:lncRNA from 1 species